rnacentral:tRNA from 1 species
CCACCCAUGGUGGAAUUGGCAGACACGUUAGAUUUAGGUUCUAAUGCUUAAUAGCGUGAGAGUUCGAGUCUCUCUGGGUGGAUUA